AUUGAACGCUGGCGGCAUGCCUUACACAUGCAAGUCGAACGGCAGCACGGGAGCAAUCCUGGUGGCGAGUGGCGAACGGGUGAGUAAUGUAUCGGAACGUGCCCAGUCGUGGGGGAUAACGCAGCGAAAGCUGCGCUAAUACCGCAUACGAUCUAUGGAUGAAAGCGGGGGACCGUAAGGCCUCGCGCGAUUGGAGCGGCCGAUGUCAGAUUAGGUAGUUGGUGGGGUAAAGGCUAACCAAGCCAACGAUCUGUAGCUGGUCUGAGAGGACGACCAGCCACACUGGGACUGAGACACGGCCCAGACUCCUACGGGAGGCAGCAGUGGGGAAUUUUGGACAAUGGGCGCAAGCCUGAUCCAGCAAUGCCGCGUGCAGGAAGAAGGCCUUCGGGUUGUAAACUGCUUUUGUACGGAACGAAACGGUCCUGGUUAAUACCUGGGGCUAAUGACGGUACCGUAAGAAUAAGCACCGGCUAACUACGUGCCAGCCGCCGCCGUAACAC
rnacentral:rRNA from 1 species